rnacentral:tRNA from 7 species
GGGCACGUAGCUCAGGUGGUUAGAGCACACGCCUGAUAAGCGUGAGGUCGGUGGUUCGAGUCCACCCGUGCCCACCA